rnacentral:misc_RNA from 1 species
AUUACGAAAGCUAUAGCCCCUCCGGGGGUUAUUGCACCCACCCUUUGUCUACUUGUACCUCUUGUUGUUUCCUCGGCAGGCUUGCCUGCCGCCAGGAACCCCUUAAACCCUUGCAUCUACAGUAUUUAAAUCUGAUAACUAUUUAAAUUAUCA